rnacentral:rRNA from 1 species
GAAGUGUGGACGCCAGUCUGCAUGGAGCCGACCUUGAAAUACCACCCUUUAAUGUUUGAUGUUCUAACGUUGACCCGUAAUCCGGGUUGCGGACAGUGUCUGGUGGGUAGUUUGACUGGGGCGGUCUCCUCCUAAAGAGUAACGGAGGAGCACGAAGGUUGGCUAAUCCUGGUCGGACAUCAGGAGGUUAGUGCAAUGGCAUAAGCCAGCUUGACUGCGAGCGUGACGGCGCGAGCAGGUGCGAAAGCAGGUCAUAGUGAUCCGGUGGUUCUGAAUGGAAGGGCCAUCGCUCAACGGAUAAAAGGUACUCCGGGGAUAACAGGCUGAUACCGCCCAAGAGUUCAUAUCGACGGCGGUGUUUGGCACCUCGAUGUCGGCUCAUCACAUCCUGGGGCUGAAGUAGGUCCCAAGGGUAUGGCUGUUCGCCAUUUAAAGUGGUACGCGAGCUGGGUUUAGAACGUCGUGAGACAGUUCGGUCCCUAUCUGCCGUGGGCGCUGGAGAACUGAGGAGGGCUGCUCCUAGUACGAGAGGACCGGAGUGGACGCAUCACUGGUGUUCGGGUUGUCAUGCCAAUGGCACUGCCCGGUAGCUAAAUGCGGAAGAGAUAAGUGCUGAAAGCAUCUAAGCACGAAACUUGCCCCGAGAUGAGUUCUCCCUGACUCCUUGAGAGUCCUGAAGGAACGUUGAAGACGACGACGUUGAUAGGCCGGGUGUGUAAGCGCAGCGAUGCGUUGAGCUAACCGGUACUAAUGAACCGUGAGGCUUAACCUU